rnacentral:rRNA from 1 species
UCGAGAAUCUUUCGCAAUGCCCGAAAGGGUGACGAAGCGACGCCGCGUGUGGGAAGAAGGCCUUCGGGUUGUAAACCACUGUCGGGAGUUAGGAAAUGCAGGUGCGUUAAUAGCGCACUUGCUUGACUAAGGCUCCAGAGGAAGCCACGGCUAACUCUGUGCCAGCAGCCGCGGUAAUACAGAGGCGGCAAGCGUUGUUCGGAAUUAUUGGGCGUAAAGAGCAACGUAGGCGGCCUUGCAAGUCAGUUGUGAAAGCCUUCCGCUUAACGGAAGAACGGCAUCUGAUACUACAGGCUUGAGUACGGGAGGGGAGAGUGGAACUUCUGGUGGAGCGGUGAAAUGCGUAGAUAUCAGAAGGAACGCCGGCGGCGAAAACGACUCUCUGGUCCGAAACGUGACGCUGAGUGUGCGAAAGCUAGGGGAGCGAAACGGAGUUAGAAACCCCGGUAG